rnacentral:rRNA from 1 species
CUAAGGCGAGGCCGACAGGCGUAGUCGAUGGACAACGGGUUGAUAUUCCCGUACCGGCGAAGAACCGCAAGAGCUAAUCCCGUAAUGCUAAGAGCCCGAAUCCUUUUCCUGAUCCCUUCGGGGUGAUGGUUGAGGGCUAGCGCUCGACCCUACGCGGGUGCGGCUAGCGUAUUAACAGGUGUGACGCAGGAAGGUAGCUGAUCCGGGCGAUGGUUGUCCCGGUGUAAGGGUGUAGGGCGAGAGAUAGGCAAAUCCGUCUCUCAUAUCGCUUGAGACCCGACGCGUAGCCCCAUGGGCGAAAUCAGUGAUCCUAUGCUGCCAAGAAAAGCAUCGACGCGAGGUUCUAGCUGCCCGUACCCCAAACCGACUCAGGUGGUCAGGUAGAGAAUACUAAGGAGAUCGAGAGAAUCGUGGUUAAGGAACUCGGCAAAAUGCCCCCGUAACUUAGGGAGAAGGGGGGCCGGAUCCGUGACGUAAUUUACUUAUUGAGCGGUGAAGGCCGCAGAGACCAGUGGGAAGCGACUGUUUACUAAAAACACAGGUCCGUGCGAAGUUGCAAGACGAUGUAUACGGACUGACGCCUGCCCGGUGCUGGAAGGUUAAGGAGAUCGGUUAGCUUCGGCGAAGCUGAGAACUUAAGCCCCAGUAAACGGCGGUGGUAACUAUAACCAUCCUAAGGUAGCGAAAUUCCUUGUCGGGUAAGUUCCGACCUGCACGAAUGGCGUAACGACUUCCCAACUGUCUCAACCGCGAACUCGGCGAAAUUGCACUACGAGUAAAGAUGCUCGUUACGCGCAGCAGGACGGAAAGACCCCGUGACCUUUACUACAGCUUGGUAUUGGUGUUCGGUGUGGCUUGUGUAGGAUAGGUGGGAGACUUUGAAGCGGACACGCCAGUGUUCGUGGAGUCAUUGUUGAAAUACCACUCUGGUCACUCUGGACAUCUAACUUCGAACCGUGAUCCGGUUCAGGGACAGUGCCUGGUGGGUAGUUUAACUGGGGCGGUUGCCUCCCAAAAAGUAACGGAGGCGCCCAAAGGUUCCCUCAGCCUGGUUGGCAAUCAGGUGGCGAGUGUAAGUGCACAAGGGAGCUUGACUGUGAGACUGACAGGUCGAGCAGGGACGAAAGUCGGGACUAGUGAUCCGGCAGUGGCUUGUGGAAGCGCUGUCGCUCAACGGAUAAAAGGUACCUCGGGGAUAACAGGCUGAUCUUGCCCAAGAGUCCAUAUCGACGGCAUGGUUUGGCACCUCGAUGUCGGCUCGUCGCAUCCUGGGGCUGGAGUAGGUCCCAAGGGUUGGGCUGUUCGCCCAUUAAAGCGGCACGCGAGCUGGGUUUAGAACGUCGUGAGACAGUUCGGUCCCUAUCCGCUGCGUGCGUAGGAAGUUUGAGAGGAUCUGACCCUAGUACGAGAGGACCGG